CAGUCGCCACGGGAAUACGUAGGGUGCAAGCGUUAAUCAGAAUUACUGGGCGUAAAGCGUGCGCAGGCGGUUUGUUAAGACGGAUGUGAAAUCCCCGGGCUCAACCUGGGAACUGCAUUCGUGACUGGCAAGCUAGAGUAUGGCAGAGGGGGGUGGAAUUCCACGUGUAGCAGUGAAACGCGUAGAGAUGUGGAGGAACACCGAUGGCGAAGGCAGCCCCCUGGGCCAAUACUGACGCUCAUGCACGAAAGCGUGGGGAGCAAACAGGAUUAGAUACCCCAGUAGUCCCUGUCUCUUAUAC
rnacentral:rRNA from 1 species